CACGUUCUUAAGAUUGGAGAUCUCUCUGAUGGAAAGAAGAUUUAUCAUCUCAACAUGUAAGUGUCGAACUGGUUUUGGAAUAAUAUUUCCUGCAACAUCACCUCCUAUUCUUUUGCAUUCCCCUAGAGAAACAGAUUGUGCUAGGUCAUGCAGCAGAUCGUGCAUAAAAUACUCUUUAGUAAUUUUCACCAGAUUAUCACUAGUUUCGCAAGUAAAGAAUGAUUUUCUUGUCAGAAGAUUUAAAUACUCAUUUCCGAUAUCCUCUGGCCUUUGCCUGUCGCAAAUAGAUUGCGGAAUCAGACUUGAACCAAUCCACAUAUUGACCAACUUUUUCCUCUUAAACAUAUAAUCUUGUGGAAAUAAACUACAAUAUCUAAAGCAGAGUUGUAAGUUUGUGGAUAAGUGAUCGUAGCUUAAUCUCAAAAUUGUCAUGAUGCCAUCCUUUCCUAGUUGUAAUUUCAUGAUGUCUUCUUCCAAGAUUUUCUUCCAAUAUUCAUAGUCCAUAUAGGAGUUCAGCAUUCCUCCCAUAACUUUUAUUGCCAAUGGGUAUCCUCCAAGUUUCUUCGCUAUAUGUUGACCAAUUGGUUGCAAGUUUUUAUAAUCAUCAGGAUUCACACCGAGGAAUGCAUGCUUAUUGAAAAGCGACAUAUAGUCGCUCUCCUCCAACUCAUUUAGAUUUAAUGAUUCCCGUUUGCAUUUCAUUACAUUUGCCACCAUAUCCGCAACUGAACCCAUUCGAGUUGUCAACAGGAUCUUGCUUCCUCUCUGUCCGGAUUUCAAAGGAGCAACCAAUUUCUCCCACUCCGUCAUGUUAUCAUCGUUCCAAACAUCAUCUAGUAUGAGCAAAAACCUCUUCGAUGUUAGUUUUUCUUUAAGUUUCUCAUGGAGUGCAUUUAGACGCUUGUCGCCAAAAUUCUCACUACUUACACAUUCUAAAAUUUUUCUUGUUAUCACAGUUACAUCGAAAUCCUGAGAAAUGCAAGCCCACAUAAUCGGGUCGAAGUACACUCGCACUCUUUCAUUACUAUAGACUAGUUGAGCAAGAGUGGUCUUCCCGAGCCCACCCAUACCAACAAUUGUGAAAGCAGAGACAUCAACAUCGGCAUCUCCCGGGUUGAUCAGCCAUUUGACUAUCAGGCCCGUCUCCUUGUCUCGUCCGAGCACCUCACUUUUGAUUACCAAGGAGCUAGUCUCGCGAGCAUUCUUGAUUUCCUCGAGCUUUUGACGCUUAACACUAGGAUUAGAAUUUUUAAGAUAAAUAAAUAAAUUUAUUUAAAAAAAUAUAUUUUGUAAUUAAAAAUAUAUGUGUGGGUACCCGUGGGUACCCGUGGGUUACCCAAAAUGCUCACAACUUAAUGGGUACCCACCCGUUUUACCCAUAAUUUUUUGGGUUGAAAAAGUUGCUACCCAUACCCGCAAAUUUGCGGAUAACCAACGGGCACCCGCGGGUUUGGGUCGAGAUUGCCGGGUCUAAUUGGUACCUUAAUAACAUCUAAUUGAUUUGAGUCUUGAUUUAGGAAAUUGAUUAUAAAAAUUACAUAUGCCUGCAUAAGGGAGGGUGGAGCAACUGCGUGCGCCAAAAUAUUACCUGCACCUGGUGUACAAGCACAUAUCUAUACACCGCAUCUCUGAAAUGGACAAAUGUUUUAGAACUAAGAAAAUUAAAAUCUAACUCACUGAAUGUUAAAGUGAUUUUAGACCAAAAAUGAUCUUUCCCUUCAUAAAGCAUUUGAUGAACUUGUCUUUCAAAAUCUAAUUCUUAUUUUUCUCUCUAAAAUCAGAAGUAUUUAAAACCUGCUAUCUCUAAUCUGAAUCUAAUUUUGAACUCAAAUUUUAAGCUUAAAUUUUAUUUUUAGGUUCAAAUUUUUAAUUUAAAUUUAGAUUUUUAAAUUUUAAAUUUUAAAUUUCAAAUUUAAGUUUUUAAAUCUUAAAUUUCAAGUUAUCAAUUUUUAGUUUUCAAAAUUUGAAUUUAGAUAUUAAUUUUUAGAUUUUAAAUCUCAAAUUUUAAAUUCAAUUUCAUAAUUUUUUUUAAUCUACUCUUUUUAGAUAUUUUAGGUUUAAUAUAUCAGACAAAUGUAUAUCGUUGUGUGGCAUAUAGCGUAUUUAUACACUGGAGGUACAUGCAUUUGUUCUUUCUGCAUAUCUGGUGUUUGGUAACACAUAAACUUAGUUAAAAAUAGUUUAAGAGAUAUUAAAUUAUAGAAAAAAUAAUAAUCCACUUGUUAGUAUUUUGUUUGGCGUAAAACAAAUUGAGAUUGAAGCACAAGUGCUCGGUUUGAAAGAAGAGAAAAUAAAGUAUGUAGGAAAGUAGAUGUGGGACGGAGGACAGAUACUACUGACUUUUUAGUUUUGUUUUUUCAUCCGAAAAUAAUUAUUUGUCACUUAAAGUAUAUAAUUAUGUCACUGGAAAGUGUAAAAUACGCAAACCAAUAUCAAAAAGCUAAUAUUAGUAUUUGACCAAAACUAUUUUCGACCUGAGCAUUUAUUUGAAUGCAUGAAUAUCUUAUCCGGUCUAUCUGUUAUGUUUAUUUAAGAACUGUAUAGUAUUUGGUAGAUUAGAAUUUCCAUCAAUUUAAUGGUUUUAAUUAUCUUUUGCAAACAAACUGAAACAACCAAUAGCUAAUAGAGGUAUUAAACUUCACAAAUUUUCGCUUUAACUAACUCAAAUAACUGAAAUAAAAAAAACCAUAUUAGAAUCUAAGAACAGUGUCAAUAAAAAACAAAAAUAAUUGCCAAGUUGAGGGGCCUAUUCGCAAUGGCGUAUAGUUGCAGAGGUCUCAUUUAGAAUUUUACCUCAAACAAAAAAAAAAAAAAAUUAUGUCUCUGAAAACAACAGUUCGAAAAAUAAGGAACUGCACAAAGGAGCGUAGACAGAAAAUUUGAAUCAAAACCAACCUUACAGAGAUUGAAGACUGAACUGAACAUCAGCAACAGUUGUCGGUCUGUUUGAGUUUUGAGUGUGCUUUUCUGUCGUCAAUGCAUUAGGAAAUUAAUUUUUUUUUCUGUUUUGGAAAAUCGUAAAGAAAGAAAAAGCAAGCAGCUGCAAGACGUGGUUGCAAGUUGAUGCCUGCUGCAGUGUAGGCCUCAUUUUCAAUUUACGGUGAAAUGUCGGUAUAAGUGUUAUCGACGGAGUGUCUGUCAAAUUUGCCCCGGAAAGUGGAUACAACCUGCAUUAAAAACUUGGAGUUGUUAUACUGCUAGAGAAACAUAAAAAUUGAUUGAUGUUUUAGCUACCUCAGAGAAGCUCAACAACUUCAUCAUAUAACAGACAAAAACAGAACAAGCUUAUGACUGGGCUAUGCGAUUUGCUAUUUGUGCAGGAAUCAAACACAAAAUUAUCUUUAAUAUAUACGCAUAUAAAUUGAGGGGAAACAAAAUUGAAGCAUUUAAUCUCCUUGCCGCAAAAAAGAGCAAUUUCUUUCUUAAAGAUUUUACAUUAGUUCGGCUGCUACAAACACACACACACACACACACACACACACACAAACAAAAAUGCAUGGAAUAUAUGUUACUCUGAUCCUGCACCAACAAAACUGAAGAACACAAGCAUGCAGUAAGACAUUAGUCUUUUUUUUCCAUAUUCUUAUGAAUAAAUUGAUGGACCAUGACCAUGUAUGGGAGUCAUAUAUGACAAUAAGAGCCUUUUUCACUAUUGCGCCAAAAAAGAAAGAGAAGAGAAAAUAAGUAGUAUGAUUUUAAUCUUGUUUUAUGCCAGAUAAGAAAAAUAGAUUCGAGCACCAAUAGGGGGUCCUAAUCCUUACAUGUUCCUGCACCACCAAAAUAGAACAUAAGCAGCUACUCUUGCUUUAUAUUCUUGAAAAAUUUGAAAGAAAUAUAUAUAUAUAGGAGUGCUAUACCAUUACUACUGCCCUGAACCAAGAAAUUUAACAAACUUAAAAAGCUUUUGUCAUGCUUCUCUUAUGUUCUAACUCAUCAGCGAGACUUCGCAUCUUGUUUGUACUCCUAGAGAGAGAAAUUACUGCACAAUUAGUCAUAUUUAACUUUAGAAAGCAAUUGACAUGCUAGCGCAAUUAACAUAUGUUAUAUUCAUGACAUUGUUUGUUAAGACUAGCACAAUGUAUUAUAUUCAUGACUAGCACAAUAUAUUCAUGACAUUGCGCUUUUUGGGGUUUUUUGGGGCUUUGAUUUUGGUUUUUGGUUUUUUUUGGUUUCUGGGUUCCUGCUCCUAGAUCUUGAUUGCGAUCAACCCAUGCUGUUCUUGCCGUUCUGUUUUUUCGCCUUACUAGACUGCUCCUAUACUCUCUGUUCUGACUUUGUUAAAAUAGGGUAUACCCCUGUUUAAUCAAAAAAAAAAAAGACUAGCACAAUGUAUUAUAGGAGGCAAUUAGUGCUUUAUUCCCUUUUUAUGUAUCCAAAUCAUAAAAUGAGAGUACAAAAUGUAAAAAUUCCAUUGAGGAUGCUAAUUAAAAAGGAACCUGGCUACUCUUGCAUUAUCUGAAAAAAGGUAAGCAAUUAAUCCCGUAAGAAAUGAGAUAACUUUGUUAAGACUGAAUGAGAUGUAUGUAGUUCAUUAAUUAAGACCAAAAUGAAUUGCAUUAUUUACAACAAAGGGUUACGAGAUGAAGGGGGGUAGAGUGUACUUACAAUUAAUAUGCAUCAUCAUCACGAUCUGCAAAUAAUGCUAUGUAAUCCUCACAAAACGGAUGUUGGCAAUCUUGGGCCAAUCAAGGCCUAUAUUCUCUUGGCAUCGCUCCUUCAACACAGGGUGACAGCUGUUGAUGACUAGACAACGCAGUGAAGUAGGUAGAUCUGGAAGUGACUGGAUGAGAUUAGCAUCUUCCACACCCAAAAUGACGAGGGAGCACAGUUUUGUCAUGCUGCGGGGUAGGGACUGAAGGGAGCGUGCUUCUCGUAUGCAUAAUUGUCCGGGGGGCAGCGUGAUUUUGUAGUAGCCAUUCCUCAGGUAAGGAGGCGAGAGCGCGUAAGCAUCAGAGAGAUGUCAAACGAGCAGACGGAGGAGAGACUUCUCAAUGGUCUAUGAGCAGGAGCGCGUGGUGUCAAUUGAUUAUAACCAUUCUUCAAAAACAGUCCAGUACUGUAUUCUUUUUUUGGCCGACAUCGUUGGGAAGGAGGCUGCAGCAGAAGGGCAACUUCAAUUAGCUUGUCACCACCUUUCAAUUAUCUAAAGAACGGAGCGAUACGAGAGCUUGUAUUCCACCAAUGAUGACAAGUUCUUUGCAGUUCUUAUAUUCUAAGCGGGAAAGCAUCGUCCACCGUGACACACUUUGUGCGGGGGAAGGGAUGCUAUACUUGCACAAUCGAGUAAUUCCACCAUAUAAAGAGGUUAAAUGCCGCUGACCACAGCAGUGGACCUCGAGGUCGCCAAAUGACAAUAGUGAGAUGACCGAGUACAGAGGGCAGUUCGAUGUCUGAGAUCCUACUUUUGUCAACUUGCGGCAAUUUUCUAUGUGCAAGGUUUUCAUGGCUUUGAAUUCCCAAAAAGCUCCGAUGGAACAUAUUCGAUCUUCUUACAGUGUCUGAUGACUAAGCUUUCAAGAGGCCUGAAAAUGUUCUUGCUACCGCAAGAAAAGAAAGAAAAGAUAUUUAAGUCUGGGCAAUCACAGCCAUGUAAAUACGAAUUGGUGUUUGGAUACAAGGGUAAAGUUUAAAUUGCCCCCGUGUGAUUUAACUCAUUUUAAACUUGACCUUGCAGUUCAAAAAGUUUUACUUUGCCCUCCUGUAGUUUAAUUUUUAUUUCAUCAAAAAAGUUCUAUAUGAAAUAGUGUGGCCAAUUAAAAAUAUUUAAAAAAUACUUUUUGAACUACAGGAGAGGGGGGUGAAAAUGAUAUUUUUGAACUACAGGAGGGGCAAGUGAAAAUGAGCUAAACCCAGGGGAGAAAUUUAAAGUUUACAAAAUAAAGCACUUACAUUGUUGUUUGCGUAAUUUGAUUUAUUGUUGAAAAGCGAUCAAUCCGACAUUAUAAAUAUGCAAAUCUCUUGACCAUAGAUGCAGAGUAGGAAUUCCCCUCAAAUUAGGGCAAUCAGAAAUAGACAUAGACUGAAGUUGAGGAAACAUGCACCUAUCAUCAAUUCCAAUCCACUCCUCCAAGUUAGGCAUGUCCCAUAACAAUAACAUCUUCAACGAUGGAAAGGCACAUCCACUGUUGCUUCCAAAGAAUGAACAAUCUAUUUGCUUUACUGUAUGCAGUCCCUGCAAGAAAAGGUGCCGGAGCGAAGAAAACUGCCAAAGAGGCGGGAGCUGCUCCCAUCUUUUACAAUCAAUUAGUUCGAUGGAUGUCAAAUUGACAAGAGACAGAUUUGUCAUCCAACAUGGAGAUUUAGCACCGUGGUAUUGUUCAAUGCGCAUUUUCUUGAGAUUGAUAUGUGGACAGAGGUUAUCGAGGAGCUGCUCAUCCGCUUCUGCACUAUUGGAGUGGCCUUCGGACCAUCGCAAUCCCAACGAUUUGAGAUAUUCUUUCUCAUUCAGCUUGGCCUCUGUAGCUUCUUCAGAAGUCCUCACAUUUUCAAGUUUCAUAAUACACAGGUGAUGAAGGUCCCUGAGGUUCUUGAGUUCACCGAUUUUGUAACCACUCUUCUCUCGGACAACAAAAUUUUGUAAUUUGUGGAUGAAAGGUAGUUUGCUAAUAUAAGGAAUAUUUUCUAUCACAUGAUAGGGAACAUCUAAUGAACGCAAAUUGACCAAGUUGGUCAAGCCAUCAUAUUCAAUACUUUCAUUCACAACUUUCCAUAGUGAAAGAGAUAGGUAGCGGAGGUGUAUCAAGCUACUAAGUGCAUUGGGCAGUUUAUAAGAGUGAAAAUUCACAUCUAAGAUCAAUAAGCGUAACUUUCUAAACCCUUUUAUAACCUCGAUAAAUUCAAGUGCAUGAUCUGCAUUAUGCCUAUUGUCCUCUUUAACAGAAAUGACUAGAGUGUGCACAUUCUUAAGAUUGGAGAUCUCUCUAAUAGAAAGAAGAUUAAGCAUUUCGACAGAUAAGUGUCGAACUGUUUUUGGAAUAAUAUUUUCUGCAACAUCACCUCCUAUUUUGAUGCAUUCCCCUAGAGAAACAGAUUGUGCUAGGUCAUGCAGCAGAUCGUGCAUAAAAUACUUUUUAGUAAUUUCCACCCUAUUAUCAUGGGUUUUACAGGUAAAGAAUGAUUUUCUUGUCAAAAGAUUUAAAUACUCCUUUCCGAUAUCCUCUGGCCUUUCCCUGCCACAAAUAGAUUGUG
rnacentral:lncRNA from 1 species